rnacentral:rRNA from 1 species
CCUACGGGAGGCAGCAGUGGGGAAUAUUGGGCAAUGGGCGCAAGCCUGACCCAGCAACGCCGCGUGAAGGAAGAAGGCUUUCGGGUUGUAAACUUCUUUUCUCAGGGACGAAGCAAGUGACGGUACCUGAGGAAUAAGCCACGGCUAACUACGUGCCAGCAGCCGCGGUAAUACGUAGGUGGCAAGCGUUAUCCGGAUUUACUGGGUGUAAAGGGCGUGUAGGCGGGACUGCAAGUCAGAUGUGAAAACCACGGGCUCAACCUGUGGCCUGCAUUUGAAACUGUAGUUCUUGAGUACUGGAGAGGCAGACGGAAUUCCUGGUGUGGCGUGGAAAUGCGUAGAUAUUAGGAGGAACACCAGUGGCGAGGCGGUCUGCUGGACAGCAACUGACGCUGAGGCGCGAAAGCGUGGGGAGCAAACAGGAUUAGAUACCCUUGUAGUC